rnacentral:sRNA from 1 species
ACACAGGGAAGGAGGUGGUCCGAGAAAUUGAGUGACUUAUGGACAUGUGAGGUGGCUGCGAGCUAGCAGCGCCGGGGAGCGCUUGACGCACCUGCGCGCGCUGGCGAAUUCCCCGCAGUCACCCGGCCCCCGAGCCCCUCGGUUGAGUCCGACCAGGAUCAACGGCUCGGGGGCCGCUCCAU